rnacentral:pre_miRNA from 10 species
GUCGGUGGUCCCUGGGUGGGGGUCUCUAUCCCGGACGAGCCCCCAAAUGAAAGACCCCCGGCGUGGGGUGUCCUUCAAUCUGAAGAGACCCUUCCCCAAGGAACAACGAGACCA